GAUGAACGCUGGCGGUCUGCUUAACACAUGCAAGUCGAACGGGCUCUUCGGAGCUAGUGGCGGACGGGUGAGUAACGCGUGAGAAUCUGCCUUCAGGAGGGGGAUAACGACUGGAAACGGUCGCUAAUACCCCAUAUGCCUCCGGGUGAAAAGUAAUUCGCCUGGAGAUGAGCUCGCGUCAGAUUAGCUAGUUGGUGGGGUAAGAGCCUACCAAGGCGACGAUCUGUAGCUGGUCUGAGAGGAUGAUCAGCCACCCUGGGACUGAGACACGGCCCAGACUCCUACGGGAGGCAGCAGUGGGGAAUUUUCCGCAAAGGGCGCAAGCCUGACGGAGCAAGACCGCGUGGGGGAUGACGGCUUAAUGGUUGUAAACCCCUUUUCUCUGGGAAGAAGACUGACGGUACCAGAGGAAUCAGCCUCGGCUAACUCCGUGCCAGCAGCCGCGGUAAUACGGAGGAGGCAAGCGUUAUCCGGAAUUAUUGGGCGUAAAGCGUCCGUAGGUGGUUAUUCAAAGUCUGCUGUCAAAGCGUGGGGCUUAACUCCAUAGAGGCAGUGGAAAACUGAGUGACUAGAG
rnacentral:rRNA from 1 species